CCAAUUCUCUGGGCCUCACUGUCUUCUUCAUGGAGCUUCUGUGUGGAUAAUUUGGGCUUUGGCGUAGCUUGGCGAUCUCUGUGUGGUUGGAUUUCUUUCCUGUGAGAGAAAAAGUGGCAGUGCACUCCAUGUGUGGCCCCAGGAGUACCGGAACGUCAUCUCUUAAACCCCGAAGGUACAUAGAGGAGGCUUCCCCAACUUUCACAGAGCCAGCUGAAGUCCGUUCUUGGAACCCAAGAGGCCCAGCCCUUCCCUUCAAGGUCAGACUUGAUGAGGUUGCAGAGCCUCCUGACAUAUGGGCCAUGGCCUCCCACAUCAGAGGCCGCUUUGCCUUGAGAGAAAGGGCCGCAGAGUUGAAUGUCUCAACACUGAGCUCUUUGGAAACUUCACAUCUUCAAGUCGCUGGCACCACACUGGCACUUCUCUCUCCCUGGCCUCCUCUUUUGAAGGAGUAUGACGCUAUUAAUAAAUGA
rnacentral:lncRNA from 1 species